UACAGAGGGGGCAAGCGUUGUUCGGAAUCACUGGGCGUAAAGCGCGUGUAGGCGGCCCAUUAAGUCUGAUGUGAAAGCCCGGGGCUCACCCCCGGAAGUGCAUUGGAAACUGAUGGACUCGAGUCCCGGAGAGGAGAUCGGAAUUCCUGGUGUAGCGGUGAAAUGCGCAGAUAUCAGGAGGAACACCGGUGGCGAAGGCGGAUCUCUGGGCCUGUUCUGACGCUGAGGCGCGAAAGCUAGGGGAGCGAACAGG
rnacentral:rRNA from 1 species